rnacentral:ncRNA from 1 species
AUGAAUGCAAAGAUGAGUAAGCAAGAAUCCAUGCCCAGAGAAUCGUCGUUUGGUGUGAGAUGAUGUUGGUGAAUUGCUGAAGAUGGUCUUAAAUGCAGUUCUCGUUACCGAGCGUGAGUAAAGUGACGACGGGUACUCCCGUUACAGAGUUAGGGUAUGAUCGUACUUGAACUGUAUUUAAGUACCCAAUGAGGAGUAAUUCGUGAGGGUUACUUAAACUAAGGUGGUAACACGGAAAGCAUUUCCGUCCUUUAU